rnacentral:rRNA from 1 species
UACGUAGGGCGCAAGCGUUGUCCGGAAUUAUUGGGCGUAAAGAGCUCGUAGGCGGUUUGUCGCGUCUGCUGUGAAAUCCCGAGGCUCAACCUCGGGCUUGCAGUGGGUACGGGCAGACUAGAGUGCGGUAGGGGAGACUGGAAUUCCUGGUGUAGCGGUGGAAUGCGCAGAUAUCAGGAGGAACACCGAGUGGCGAAGGCAGGUGGGCUGGGCCGGUACUGACGCUGGAGGAGCGAAAGCGUGGGGAGCGAACAGG